rnacentral:rRNA from 1 species
GAUGAACGCUGGCGGCGUGCUUAACACAUGCGAGUCGAGCGAGAAGUUUUGAAAAGAUUCUUCGGAUGAAAUUUAAAAUGGAAAGCGGCGGACGGGUGAGUAACGCGUAGGCAACCUGCCCCAUACAAAGGGAUAGCAUUUGGAAACGAAUAUUAAUACCUUAUGAAACUUAACUAGUGCAUGCUAGGUAGGUCAAAGAUUUAUCGGUAUGGGAUGGGCCUGCGUCUGAUUAGCUAGUUGGUGAGGUAACGGCUCACCAAGGCGACGAUCAGUAGCCGACCUGAGAGGGUGAACGGCCACAUUGGAACUGAGACACGGUCCAAACUCCUACGGGAGGCAGCAGUGGGGAAUAUUGCACAAUGGGGGAAACCCUGAUGCAGCAACGCCGCGUGAACGAUGAAGGCCUUUGGGUCGUAAAGUUCUGUUCUAGGUGAUGAAAACUGACAGUAACCUAGGAGAAAGCCCCGGCUAACUCCGUG